GGUACGACUCUCGAUAACGGAUAUCUCGGCCCUUGCAUCGACGAAGAAUGUAGCAAAAUGCGAUACGUGGUGUGAAUUGUAGAAUCCCAUGAACCAUCGAGUCUUUGAAUGCAAGUUGCGCCUGAGGCCAUCCGGCUGAGGGCACUGCMUGCCUGGGCAUCACGC
rnacentral:rRNA from 1 species